GUCCACGCCGUAAACGUUGGGUACUAGGUGUGGGAGGUUUCAUACCUUCUGUGCCGGAGCUAACGCAUUAAGUACCCCGCCUGGGGAGUACGGUCGCAAGAUUAAAACUCAAAGGAAUUGACGGGGGCCCGCACAAGCGGUGGAGCAUGUGGUUCAAUUCGACGCAACGCGAAGAACCUUACCUGGGCUUGACAUCUCCCGAAUCCCGUGGAAACUCGGGAGUGCCCGCAAGGGAACGGAAGACAGGUGCUGCAUGGCUGUCGU
rnacentral:rRNA from 1 species